GGGGUUGUGGCUCAGUGGUGGAGCACUCACCUAGCACAUGUGAGACCCUGGAUUCGAUCCUCAGCACCACA
rnacentral:tRNA from 1 species